UACGUAGGUGGCGAGCGUUAUCCGGAAUUAUUGGGCGUAAAGGGUGCGUAGGCGGCACAUUAAGUCUAAGGUUAAAGUUCGAGGCUCAACUUCGGAUUGCCUUAGAAACUGGUGAGCUAGAGUGCAGGAGAGGGCAAUGGAAUUCCAUGUGUAGCGGUAAAAUGCGUAGAUAUAUGGAGGAACACCAGUGGCGAAGGCGGUUGCCUGGCCUGUAACUGACGCUGAGGCACGAAAGCGUGGGGAGCAAAUAGG
rnacentral:rRNA from 1 species